GUCGAACGGGAUUUAGUAAACAGAAGCCUCGGUGGAAGAUUACUAAUGAGAGUGGCGAACGGGUGAGUAACGCGUGAGCAACCUGCCUAUGACAGUGGGAUAGCCUCGGGAAACCGGGAUUAAUACCGCAUAAAAUCGUAGAAACACAUGUUUCAACGGUCAAAGAUUUAUCGGUCAUAGAUGGGCUCGCGUCUGAUUAGCUAGUUGGUGAGAUAACAGCCCACCAAGGCGACGAUCAGUAGCCGGUCUGAGAGGAUGAACGGCCACAUUGGAACUGAGACACGGUCCAAACUCCUACGGGAGGCAGCAGUGGGGAAUAUUGCACAAUGGGGGAAACCCUGAUGCAGCGACGCCGCGUGAACGAAGAAGGUAUUCGUAUCGUAAAGUUCUGUCCUAUGGGAAGAUAAUGACAGUACCAUAGAAGAAAGCUCCGGCUAAAUACGUGCCAGCAGCCGCGGUAAUACGUAUGGAGCGAGCGUUGUCCGGAAUUAUUGGGCGUAAAGGGUACGCAGGCGGUUUAAUAAGUCGAAUGUUAAAGAUCGGGGCUCAACCCCGUAAAGCAUUGAAAACUGAUAAACUUGAGUAGUGGAGAGGAAAGUGGAAUUCCUAGUGUAGUGGUGAAAUACGUAGAUAUUAGGAGGAAUACCAGUAGCGAAGGCGACUUUCUGGACACAAACUGACGCUGAGGUACGAAAGCGUGGGGAGCAAACAGGAUUAGAUACCCUGGUAGUCCACGC
rnacentral:rRNA from 1 species